CCUACGGGUGGCAGCAGUGGGGAAUAUUGGGCAAUGGAGGCAACUCUGACCCAGCAACGCCGCGUGAAUGAUGAAGGUCUUCGGAUUGUAAAGUUCUUUUCUUAGGGGAGUAGAAAGUGACGGUACCUUAGGAAUAAGCCUCGGCUAACUACGUGCCAGCAGCCGCGGUAAUACGUAGGCGGCAAGCGUGAUCAGGAAUGAAUCGGCGUAAAGGGUGCGUAGGUGGUUUGACAAGUUAGUAGCGCAACUCCGGGGCUCAACUUCGGAACUACUACUAAAACUGUUGGACUUGAGUGCAGGGAGGGCAAGCGGAAUUCCUAGUGUAGCGGUGGAAUGCGUAGAUAUUAGGAGGAACACCAGUGGCGAAGGCGGAUUGCGAGACUGUAACUGACACUGAGGCACGAAGGCGUGGGUAGCGAACAGGAUUAGAUACCCUGGUAGUC
rnacentral:rRNA from 1 species